CGGACGGGUGAGUAAUGUCUGGGAAACUGCCUGAUGGAGGGGGAUAACUACUGGAAACGGUAGCUAAUACCGCAUAACGUCUUCGGACCAAAGUGGGGGACCUUCGGGCCUCACGCCAUCGGAUGUGCCCAGAUGGGAUUAGCUAGUAGGUGGGGUGAUGGCUCACCUAGGCGACGAUCCCUAGCUGGUCUGAGAGGAUGACCAGCCACACUGGAACUGAGACACGGUCCAG
rnacentral:rRNA from 1 species